GGAAGUGGUGGCUCAGGGGUUAAGGCUUUGGCCUACAGCUUAGAAGGCUGUGAGUUCAAAUCCCACACUGCCA